rnacentral:rRNA from 1 species
AGUGAGCGCUGGCGGUAGGCCUAACACAUGCAAGUCGAACGGCAGCACAGUAAGAGCUUGCUCUUACGGGUGGCGAGUGGCGGACGGGUGAGGAAUACAUCGGAAUCUACUUUUUCGUGGGGGAUAACGUAGGGAAACUGACGCUAAUACCGCAUACGACCUACGGGUGAAAGCAGGGGAUCUUCGGACCUUGCGCGAUUGAAUGAGCCGAUGUCGGAUUAGCUAGUUGGCGGGGUAAAGGCCCACCAAGGCGACGAUCCGUAGCUGGUCUGAGAGGAUGAUCAGCCACACUGGAACUGAGACACGGUCCAGACUCCUACGGGAGGCAGCAGUGGGGAAUAUUGGACAAUGGGCGCAAGCCUGAUCCAGCCAUACCGCGUGGGUGAAGAAGGCCUUCGGGUUGUAAAGCCCUUUUGUUGGGAAAGAAAAGCAGCAGGUUAAUACCCCGCUGUUCUGACGGUACCCAAAGAAUAAGCACCGGCUAACUUCGUG